rnacentral:rRNA from 1 species
UACGUAGGGACCAAGCGUUGUUCGGAUUUACUGGGCGUAAAGGGCGCGUAGGCGGCAAAUUAAGUCAGCUGUGAAAUCUCCGAGCUUAACUCGGAACUGUCAGCUGAUACUGAUGUGCUAGAGUGCGGAAGGGGCAAUCGGAAUUCUUGGUGUAGCGGUGAAAUGCGUAGAUAUCAGGAAGAACACCGGUGGCGAAAGCGCUCUGCUAGGCCGCAACUGACACUGAGGGACGAAAGCUAGGGGAGCGAAUGGG